rnacentral:rRNA from 1 species
GAUUAUGGCUCAGGAUGAACGCUAGCUACAGGCUUAACACAUGCAAGUCGAGGGGCAGCAUGGAGUUGCUUGCAAACUCUGAUGGCGACCGGCGCACGGGUGAGUAACGCGUAUCCAACCUUCCCUAUAGUAGAGGAUAGCCCGGCGAAAGUCGGAUUAAUACUCUAUGUUUUCCGUUGCAGACAUCUAAGAUGGAACAAAGGCUUGCCGCUAUAGGAUGGGGAUGCGUCUGAUUAGGUAGUCGGCGGGGUAACGGCCCACCGAGCCAUCGAUCAGUAGGGGUUCUGAGAGGAAGGUCCCCCACAUUGGAACUGAGACACGGUCCAAACUCCUACGGGAGGCAGCAGUGAGGAAUAUUGGUCAAUGGACGAGAGUCUGAACCAGCCAAGUAGCCGUGCAGGACGACGGCCCUAUGGGUUGUAAACUGCUUUUAUGCGGGGAUAAAGUUCACUACGUGUAGUGUUUUGUAGGUACCGCAUGAAUAAGGACCGGCUAAUUCCGUGCCAGCAGCCGC